rnacentral:lncRNA from 1 species
UACCUUAUAGACGAUAAGAUCGUGCUCUCCAUCUCGCAGGGUGGUACCAUCGUAUCUCAUCAGCUUGACAAAUGCUAGUGCAAAUAUUUUCUCAGAUUUAUCCUUAGCUCCUGUGAUGACCUGUGGCGGAAGGUAAACCGAAGGUGACUGCGGUUAACGUCCUCGAUGGGAAUGGCCACCUUCAAGAAUUGAAAAAGAAGUUUAAGCACUGUUAUCAAUAUCAUCCAGCAUAACAGCUUUAUUCAACUGGAGCUAUCAGGUACAACUGUAAACAUUUCUAACUGCAGUGGUGAAAAUUCUGUACACCUAGUCCCCUAUAUGAUUUUUCCAAAGACAAAA